rnacentral:misc_RNA from 1 species
GUGAAUCAUCGAAUUUUUGAACGCAAAUUGCACUUUCUGGUAUUCCGGAGAGUAUGCCUGUUUGAGGGUCAGUUUAAAUAAAAAUUGGGGUGGUUGCUGCCUUUUGUGGUGUCGGACCGGAGGUGUGUCGUCUUGCCUUUAGUUAAGUGACCUAAAAUUUUGCAUGAUUGUUUCGUACGUAUCUAAAUUAAUUUUUGUAUGUUUG